rnacentral:tRNA from 1 species
CUGGAUUUCGGCGAGAAUGACGCCGGCUUCGGCCGUGAUCGUGUUGUUGUGCGGAUCGAUGCCGCGAAUCUUGU